GACGAACGCUGGCGGCGUGCUUAACACAUGCAAGUCGAACGGAAAGGCCCUGCUUUUGUUUGUUGCUCGAGUGGCGAACGGGUGAGUAACACGUGAGUAACCUGCCCUUGACUUUGGGAUAACUUCAGGAAACUGGGGCUAAUACCGGAUAGGAGCUUCUGCUGCAUGUUGGUGGUUGGAAAGUUUCGGCGGUUGGGUCUGUACUCGCAGCUUCUCAGCUUGUUGGUGUGGUUGUUGCUUACCAAGGCUUUGACGGGUAGCCGGCCUGAGAGGGUGACCGGCGACAUUGGGACUGAGAGACGGCCCAGACGCGUACGGGAGGCAGAAGGGGGGAAUAUUGAAGAAGGGGCGGAAGCCUGAUGCAGAAACGCCGCGAGCGGGAAGACGGCCUUCGGGUGGAAAACCGAUUUCGCCUGUGACGAAGAGUGAGUGACGGUAAUGGAUAAAGAAGCACCGGCUAACUACGUG
rnacentral:rRNA from 1 species